GAUGAACGCUGGCGGCGUGCCUAAUACAUGCAAGUCGAGCGAACGGACGAGAAGCUUGCUUCUCUGAUGUUAGCGGCGGACGGGUGAGUAACACGUGGAUAACCUACCUAUAAGACUGGGAUAACUUCGGGAAACCGGAGCUAAUACCGGAUAAUAUUUUGAACCGCAUGGUUCAAAAGUGAAAGACGGUCUUGCUGUCACUUAUAGAUGGAUCCGCGCUGCAUUAGCUAGUUGGUAAGGUAACGGCUUACCAAGGCAACGAUGCAUAGCCGACCUGAGAGGGUGAUCGGCCACACUGGAACUGAGACACGGUCCAGACUCCUACGGGAGGCAGCAGUAGGGAAUCUUCCGCAAUGGGCGAAAGCCUGACGGAGCAACGCCGCGUGAGUGAUGGAGGUCUUCGGAUCGUAAAACUCUGUCAUUAGGGAAGAACAUAUGUGUAAGUAACUGUGCACAUCUUGACGGUACCUAAUCAGAAAGCCACGGCUAACUACGUG
rnacentral:rRNA from 1 species